rnacentral:lncRNA from 1 species
AUUAAAGAAAGAAGAACCCUGUGACAGAAUAGGGCCUACAUCUCCAGGCACAAAAGAAUGUUGACCUCCAGGACUUGGAGAUGCCCUCUGAGGAUGCUCUGGGAUUUCCCAGCAUGAGUUCUACUGACGGCCUGUGCCUGUUCAAAGCCUUUGAGCACACAUACUGCACUCUGGUGGAUACUCGUCACAUGUUAGCCUAGUAAAGGCUCUGUCUGAGAAGUCAGUCUAUGAAAUGGCCUUCCAGAGGACUCAAUCUGGCCACAGCUUGACUUCUUCAAGCUCUUUACACUCUCUCUUCCUGUUUCACCCCAUCUUUUCCCUCCCCUCUGCAAGCCCUUUGCAUUCCAGCCUCACAGCACUAACCAAUCUUUCCAGAGUAUGCUAUUUGAGUCUUGGCCCUUUCUGUGUCCUGCUCCCUAAUGAAUGUGUCCACUCUGCACCUGGAAAAUGCCAAGUGUCACCCCUUCUGUAAGGCUUUCUCUGACUCAAAAACCAAAUUUGGUUGCUUUUACUAGUUCCCAUUUUACUUUGUACAAAGCUCCAGUUACAGUUAUGUUUCUGUACUAGUAUUGGAAUGGAGUCUCAUGCAUGGAGAGGGAGGUCCUUGAGGGCAGGAACUGUGUGUAUCUUUAUAAUCCAGUAUAGAUGUUCAGCAAAUGCCUUAAGAAUGAAAAAGUAAAUGAUUGGAUGGAUGGGUGGAUAGCUGGAUGGACAAACAGAUGGACUGAUAAUUAAGUUCCUGAAACUGCAUGGGAGGGUGCAGAAAACCAAACCCAAAACACCAAAGACAGAGAUGUCAUCUUCAUGGUUUUCCCUCAGAAGAGGAACUUAAGACCUACCCUUUAUUACCAACUGCAAGAAUAAAGGAUAUCUUCAUGGUAGGCUACCGGACACAACCUCGUGACCUUUUCUACUUUCUCAGUAGGAGUGUCUCAACUAUUACCUGGGUAACACAGUGACCAACCCUUCCCAGUUUGUCUAGAACUGUUUCACUUUUAAAACUAAAAGUCCAGUGUACCAGGAACACCCUCAUUUCAGAGCAAGCUGGGACAGUUGACUUCCUUUUAGCCAUGUUGCUCCCCAG